UAACCUAUCUAGUAAUGGAUAGCUGAACAAUCAGAAGUCAGCCGAAGUCGUAGUACUUGGUUUGCUCGAGAGAAUCAAGGAAGGAC
rfam:Bacillus shackletonii strain LMG 18435 super11, whole genome shotgun sequence.